ACCAGGCAUGGUGGCACAUGCCUGUAAUCCCAGCAGCUUGGGAGGCUGAGGCAGGAUGAUUGUGAAUUCAAAGCCGGCCUCAGCCAUUUAGCAAGAAGCUAAGCAACUUGGCGAGACCCUGUCUCUA
rnacentral:sRNA from 1 species